ACAAAAGGAAAAAAAAAUACAAAAAACUUGUUUAAAAAGUGCAACUGGAUGCGGGCAGUGAGGAGGGUACGGGUUGGGGAGGGUUGUUCAGAACGGAGCAAAACAUAUCACAAAGUGUUUAAAGAGGUUUUUUUAAUCAACAUUGUGCAGCUGUUGUUGAAUGCAGCUUCAGCGCGUCUCUGACUGAAUGGCAAUCUAACGCCACACUGUGGAUGAAGCUGUGCCUGAUCUCCUCUUGGAUGCAAACCAGUCAGAUAGAUACACACGGUGGAGCAAACAAAACAAAAGAGCAGGAAAAAUCCAGGAAGUUUUACGGAAGCAAGCUGCCCUUAUAAGUCCCCUUACAAACGACACAUUUUCACAGAUUAAACUAUAAAUUCAAAUGAAGAAGAUAUAAGGUGCUUGAUAUGCCGAGUCAUUUGAACAACACUUAAAUUCGCAAAUGCUUUUUGACUAUCAUAGAAAGGAAACGGGGCUAAACAGGAAAAACGGGGGCAACUUGUUCUUCCCCUUCUAAUGCAUUCCCUCCUAAUCCGCAAACAUUUACAGUAUAUUGCCAGUGUAAAACAAAAUCUCAACAUGUAUGUGUGCUUUUAUUAGUAUUUUUUAUGCUGCAUUGACUUUGUUAACAAGUGGCAAAAUUGUACGAACUGCUAACGUUUUAGUGAAGUCACAAAUACUAAAGCCUGGACAGUUGUACCCAAAUAGCCCGUGUGUAUCUACUGAGAGGACGAGAAUAUCUAAAGAAUCAAUCAUUGAAUCAGUUAAUCAAUCAAUCAGUGAGUGAUUUCAGAGGGACUGGGGUGUUUAAAUUAUUGAAGGUAGAAGAACAACAGAAGAAACAAGGACGAAUUAUGCAGUAAUGAAAGAGUGUACUUCUAAACGCCGCAGGAAGGAAAGACUUUUCUUGACAUCUUCAUUUGAGAUUGUUGUUGUGGGUUUGUAGUGCAGACGACCGAACAAAACAGCUCUAGCAAACAUCCCAAACCAGAGUCCUUUGUCAGAUAUUCAUUAGCAUGGGCAGAGCAGGCAGAGUUUAAACUGGUGUCCAGGCCUUUCCUUAACUCGAAGGAUUACUGGACAGAUGGUUGAGAGGAUGGACAGAAUUUAUAUUCCAUGUUUAGCACAUUCCCGGAAUUACGAUCGCUCUACUUGAAUCGAGUGGUUAAGAUGGCCCGAAGCCCUGAACUGUGAGAGUUUUGGGAGUCAUGGAAGGGAAAGGAGCUAAAGUGGGCCAACAUCGUGAGGAGCUAGAGACUGAGGGAUAGGAGGAAAAAACAGAGAAUCUAAAGGUCUAAAUGAUGACGACGCUGCAGGGGAAGCAACGGAACAAUCAGCAUGGUGACGGGUGUAUACUUUUCUUCUAGGGGGCCAAGCAGCAGUAGUCAAAGCAUUCCUGUGUUAGAUUAAUUUGGUUCCCCUCAUUACCUGGUUUAGUAUCUGGACGAUCAUAACCUUAAACUUCUAACCCAAUUCCAGACUGCCCUGCCCUGAGUAACAACUUUGGGGGGACUUUCUGAUUGACAUUUGCUGUCUUGCUAUAGUUUAUUGCAGUCGCGGUGUCUGUUGCUGGGACCUUUAGCUGCUUGAAAUUUCAUUGGCCUUGAUAUCCUGUUGUGAUGUGGAUGUCUGGAAAAAUCUCAAACACUGUCUGCUUUUCUGCAUUGCAUUGUAGAGACUAGAGACUCCAGUCUUGUUUUUCGUCAUGAGUCUGGCAUGCCUGACGUAGGGUUCAGACAUUUGAAUUACCUUGGUUUGCUUAAUUUACAUGUAAAUUCUAAAUAUUAGUUCAAAUUAGGCAUAUUUAAAUGAAAUUAAACAAGAUCAGUACUCUACACCUGAGGCAAGUCCAAUCCACUAACCUAACCACUAAUACAUUAGGCCUAUAUCACUUAAGAAUUUCAAAGUGCUGCCUCUUGUACUUGGACUUACCCAGGUUUCUUGAGUAGAAGUUCAGUAGAAGUCAACAUUGACUUGGGAUCAGCCAAACUGCAUACGGUAACUGCAAACAUUCUGUAUUCAGGCUGAUACUGCAAGUUACAAAGACAAUCACACAUUUAUAGGCCUAUUACAUUUUUUGUCGAGUUUCACAUAGUCUCACAUUAUGAAAAGGACCUGGCGACGCAGAUUCCCAUCACCCAUUCCCAUCACCAUAGUAACUCGCUGCCGAGAAGGGGGGGAGAGAGGGUGCUCUGCUCUGCUCACAGUCACAUGCUGGAUGUCAUCCAUGUUCCCACACGGAUCAAAGCCUUUAUAAAAUGAAAAUACAUAUAACUGUUAAAAGUAUUCCUCUCCCCGUCAUCCCUUGUUUAGCUUUUUGGCUAGUAGCCGACGUGACCUGCACUGGCCCUGACAUGUCGCUCACUAAAUUACGACAAGCGUACACGUCACAUCAUCAUAUAAGAAAGCCUACCUUGGACAAAUAACUAAUUCAUAAUAAUAAUAAUUUAUACUUUAUUAAUCCCGCAAGGGAAAUUACAAUGUUACAUUCAGGUAAAGCAGUAACACAGUGUUACUUGAAUUAGUAACUGUAAUAAAAUUACUGUUUUGAAAAUUGUAAUUCCUUACAGUACUCAUUACUGUGGAAAGUAAUAGUUAAGCAAUAUUACACUUGAGGGUUUGAUUUAACGUCAUUAUUGGCAUGACGUAACCAUCACAACCUUAAUGUUCAUUGCAUCGCUAUGCAUCAAGGUCUACUCUCCGGCAACAGGCAAAAGUAGUUGGAAUAUCUGCAAGCACGUCCAUUGUUUUGUGGUGUCAAUCAAAAGUCCCCUUUCACCCUUGCCCCAGUGUGAACCUUCCUCCGACCAGGCCUGUGUUUAAUACCCAGUCCCAGUUGUGUCGUCUCUGCUGACCCUAGCCUUAUGAGCCCUAAACCAGAGCCCUAGCCCUUCUUCCCAGCCUCGUGCCCCACCUGAGCGGUCCCACCGAUGCAAUUUGAACAUUCACACUUCUACCAAUGUGCCUUUUUAGAUUUCAUAUCAUUCGAGUUGCCAGAGGAGGACAUUUACCUGGUCUUUUAAUAGGAUGCAAGCUUAGGGAAACCUGUUCUUAGUCGUUAGGUUCUAUGCAGUCAGGUUUUUUACCAGACCUGGGAAUUUAAAAAAAGCUAAAAAAAGGAAAAAAAAGUAUUUUUUGGAUAAAAAAGUAAACUGUAUUUAAUGUACUGUACGCUUAUAUGUAAGUAGACAGCGUGUUCUGGCUUGGAGCCAAUGAGACAGACGCUUUUAGCAAACCGAGUCCAGAUCCCAGUCCCCCCCCUCAAAGUUCUCCCUAACCCCCCAACCUUCCUGUUCCAAGCCCCAGCCCUGUUUCCAUGAUGAACAACGCGUCUCUUCUUGUAUUAUAGCUUAUCAGCUUUUUAUCAAUAUUUGAUCGGCUUGUCCGUAAGCCAAUGUAGUCUUCAGUACAAAGUGUGUGGUCGUAUGUUGUAAAGCAGAUUUUCUUUUUUUCUCUCUUUCUCUUUUUUAAGAAGAAUCUUUUCUCUUAUUACUUUUUAUUUGUCUGUUCUGGUUUACAUGUCUAUUAUAGAAAAUGUUAAAAAACAAAACAAAAAGAAAAAGAAAUAGAAAAAAACAACACAAUUCGCUAACUGACAGCAUGGUUCUGUCUGUGGUCAUUUUGACACAGUUAAAAUCCUACCCAAUCAACAGGAAGGCACGGAAACUGGAAAAGAAUCUAUUUGAAUAAAUCAAUCUAUAUAUAAAUGUACAAAAAAAUAUAUACGAUAUAUAAGGAGGGUGCCAUUUUCUGUUUUUUUCUGUUGCAAAUGCGUGUUUGCUUGGGGAGGAAAUAUUUUCUCAAAGACUGAACUGGCAGAAGUUGGCGAGGCCCCUCAGUGUUAUAAAUUUCCAACUGACUUUGUUGUGUUCUCUAUUGUUGCCAUGACAACACCCUCUGACUAGUACGGCACCCUGCGCAGGACAAAAUGGGACCGUAGUACUAUCCGCUCCAUUCACUGCUAUCUAUCCAAGGCAACAACACACAGACGUUUGUAAAUUGUAUGCAACAAAAUGGCAAACUUUACCAUUAUUUUGAAAUUGUGUAUGUAAAAGUUAUAUUUUUACAUGUAGACUGUUGUUAUUUUGUGUUUUAGAAAUAUGUUGUAUCGGUUUUUUUGUUAAAAUAUGAAAAAGUAAAAUUCAGUGUGUGUUGAAAAAAAUGUGUCACAUUGAAAAUGUAGUGAGGUCAAAAGUUCAGAAUCAUUUUAUUUUAAAUUUUUCAACCUUAUGUUUAUAUCUGUAGGGGAACAUUUUCAAGGGUUUGUGGGAGGAAUCAGAAAUCAUAAAAGAUAUAUAAUAUUUGUUUAAUUCUCCAUGCCUCAUGACAUUACCAUUUUUAAAUGUAUUUUUUAUUAUUGUUUUGCAGAGAAAUGUGUAAAUAGUCAUAAAACAUUUUCUGUGGGGUUUCUGUAGGGCGAGGACUUGCCAGUGAGAGUCGAUGAUGAUGAACUUGUUUGGAUUUUUAGUGAGGUUAUAUUUGUACGGUUACAGUAGCCAGGUACCAACUUUUAGUUUGUGUCACUGGUGCUCAGUACUGUAUGUGGUUUUGGUUGCUGACCAUCUCAAGUGUAAGUCAAACCAUUGUCUUUGCUUGCAACAAGAAUCACUUGUGUCAGAGCCGGAGUGAGGCCUUUUUUUGCGGCAUGUAAAGAUUUAAUUUUGAUUUACAAGGAGGGAAACAAGCUGGUGAAACUGGCAAAAAAACAAAAAAAACUACAUGUUCUGUAAACUGCUAUUCUUAGGGAAAGUUUGAAUGUAAAUUCAUAAAAACACAGGGUGUCAUAACUCAAAAGUACACUACCUGAUUUUGUUAUGUACCUGAAAAUUUAACAACAAAUAAAAAUUGGUUAUAAUGUAAUAUACAUCAGAAAUUGUUAUAGGGCGGUAUGACAGAAUCCAUGAUUUGUUUUAAUUACAUAAAUUAUGACAAAAACUUAACUGAGGUACCCAACGAGUGUUCACAAAUUCUAUUUACUUUGGUUCUACCUGGUGGCUUCGGGCCCGGCUCUGACUCCUGUGCAUUUAUUCUCUUCAAGUUGGGUUGUAAAUGUUGAUUAAAGGAAACACCCUCAGCACCUGAUUCAAGAUUAAUAUAUGAGAAUUUUGUAAAAGAUUGGAAUGUCACUAAUAUAAAAAAGCAGAUCGUCAGCAAACAAUCGUAUCAGCUAUUUCCCCAAAAAGAUAUCAGAUAAUGUGCAAGGCAGUUUCAGUCGUCGUUUUUUAGUGUUUGCCGUUAAAAUUGAGCUUUUUGUCAAAAGGAAAAAAAGCUACUUUGAAACGGACCUAUAGGUUAAACACUAGGAUUGAAUCUGUCAGUGUAAGUGCUAAAUGUUUUUACGUAAUGUUAUUUUUCAAUGCUUCAUUUCGUAUUUUCUCUUAGUUGUAUAAUCAAGUCAUCUCCCGAAUUACAGUAUCUUCAUUUUUAUGUUACCUCCUGAUGUGUCUAUUAGCCAAAAUGUUAACUUCUUUUUCUUUUCCCUCCUUGUUGUACAUACAGUACACACCUCAUUUCUCUUUUUCAGUGACUGUGCCAUGAGCUUUGUAAUCUGUUACUCUGUACCAGUUUUACUGCAAUAAUGAGUUGAAUUCAAAAUGG